UAAGUUUACUCCGAGCUUCCUUAUACAUGUUGCCAGAUUUUGCAUCCACCACAACAGGAUGAAAUAAGUCCUUGCAGUAAUUAUGAUCCCACAUCUUCUCCAAAACAGAAUAGUUCGAAGUAGUGAGCUUGUUGGUAUUUAAAGCUGAACAAUCCUAUUGUCCAAUCCUCACGGGUUACUCUUUGAUCAAAUCAAAUGUUAAACGUUUUAUCUUGAUCCCCAAGACUGGUGACUUUUCUACAAAGCAAAUGGUAUGUCACAUGGUUGUAUGAAUCUAGAUUUCCACAAGAUUUCAGGUCCCUGCAGCCAAGCUCAGAUGUUAUCCCCCUUUUUCAACUCUUUGUAGUUGUUAUGAUAAUGUAGCAGCAAAAGCUUUCCGGUCACUUUUUGUUUAUUUCACCAAGCUGAUUCUAUCAGUGUAUAUUGCGUCAUUUUUACACUAUAGUAUACAAGUUUGUCUAUCUGCAUAUAAAUCAUUAUAUAUCAAUUGUGUGUUGGUGGAAGAAAAAAGUGGGUAAUGUUUUUGAGUUUAUACCUGCUA